rnacentral:rRNA from 1 species
CAUGCAAGUCGAACGGAAUCCAUGGUGUAGCAAUACACCGGAAGAUUUAGUGGCGAACGGGUGAGGAUCACGUGAGAAACGUGCCCCAGACUCUGGGAUAACAAUUGGAAACGAUUGCUAAUACCGGAUGACGUCGGAGAAUCGCAUGAUUCACUGACGAAAGAUAUUUCGGUUUGGGAGCGUCUCGCGGCCUAUCAGCUUGUUGGUGGGGUAAUGGCCUACCAAGGCAACGACGGGUAGCUGGUCUGAGAGGAUGAUCAGCCACACUGGGACUGAGACACGGCCCAGACUCCUACGGGAGGCAGCAGUGGGGAAUCUUGCGCAAUGGGCGAAAGCCUGACGCAGCAACGCCGCGUGCGGGAUGAAGGCCUUCGGGCUGUAAACCGCUUUCAGCAGGAACGAAAAUGACGGUACCUGCAGAAGAAGGAGCGGCCAACUACGUGCCAGCAGCCGCGGUGACACGUAGGCUCCAAGCGUUGUCCGGAUUUAUUGGGCGUAAAGAGCUCGUAGGCGGUUGAGUAAGUCGGGUGUGAAAACUCUGGGCUUAACCCGGAGACGCCAUCCGAUACUGCUCUGACUAGAGUUCAGGAGGGGAGUGGGGAAUUCCUAGUGUAGCGGUGAAAUGCGCAGAUAUUAGGAGGAACACCGGUGGCGAAGGCGCCACUCUGGACUGAAACUGACGCUGAGGAGCGAAAGCAUGGGUAGCAAACAGGAUUAGAUACCCUGGUAGUCCAUGCCGUAAACGGUGGGCACUAGGUGUGGGUUCCAACUAACGGGAUCCGCGCCGUCGCUAACGCAUUAAGUGCCCCGCCUGGGGAGUACGGUCGCAAGACUAAAACUCAAAGGAAUUGACGG